GAAUAGUAGAGCCUGUCCCAGCUUGCUUUCGGCCCUGGCUUCACGGCACCACGAACAGGCUGAGGCUGAAGGGCGAAGCUGGUCCCACUGGUGCCCGUGGUCCUGAAGGUGCUCAAGGUUCUCGUGGCGAACCCGGCAAUCCCGGAUCCCCCGGGCCCGCAGGCGCUUCUGGUAACCCAGGGACUGAUGGUAUUCCCGGAGCCAAAGGAUCUGCUGGCGCUCCUGGAAUUGCUGGUGCCCCUGGCUUCCCUGGGCCCCGUGGCCCUCCCGGUCCUCAAGGUGCAACUGGUCCUCUGGGCCCCAAAGGUCAGACGGGUGAGCCCGGCAUCGCUGGCUUCAAAGGUGAACAAGGCCCCAAGGGAGAGACUGGACCUGCUGGGCCCCAGGGAGCCCCUGGCCCUGCUGGUGAAGAAGGAAAACGAGGUGCUCGAGGAGAGCCCGGUGGCGCUGGACCUAUCGGCCCCCCUGGAGAGAGAGGUGCUCCUGGCAACCGUGGUUUCCCAGGUCAAGAUGGUCUGGCAGGUCCCAAGGGUGCCCCUGGAGAGCGAGGGCCUAGUGGCCUGGCUGGUCCUAAGGGUGCCAAUGGUGACCCGGGUCGUCCUGGAGAACCUGGUCUUCCUGGAGCCAGGGGUCUUACUGGCCGCCCUGGUGAUGCUGGUCCUCAAGGCAAAGUUGGUCCUUCUGGAGCCCCUGGAGAAGACGGUCGCCCUGGUCCUCCUGGUCCUCAGGGAGCUCGUGGGCAGCCUGGCGUCAUGGGUUUCCCUGGCCCCAAAGGAGCCAAUGGCGAGCCUGGCAAAGCUGGUGAGAAAGGACUGGCUGGUGCUCCUGGUCUGAGAGGUCUUCCUGGCAAAGAUGGUGAGACAGGAGCCGCAGGACCCCCCGGCCCCAGCGGACCUGCUGGUGAACGAGGCGAGCAGGGUGCUCCUGGGCCAUCAGGGUUCCAGGGACUUCCUGGCCCUCCUGGUCCCCCGGGUGAAGGUGGAAAGCAAGGUGACCAGGGUAUUCCUGGUGAAGCUGGAGCCCCUGGCCUCGUUGGUCCCCGGGGUGAACGAGGUUUCCCAGGUGAACGUGGCUCUCCCGGUGCUCAGGGCCUCCAGGGUCCCCGAGGCCUCCCUGGCACUCCUGGUACUGAUGGUCCCAAAGGUGCGGCUGGCCCAGAUGGUCCCCCUGGGGCUCAGGGCCCUCCAGGUCUACAGGGAAUGCCUGGUGAGAGGGGAGCAGCUGGUAUUGCUGGACCCAAGGGAGACAGAGGUGAUGUUGGCGAGAAAGGCCCAGAGGGAGCUCCUGGAAAAGAUGGUGGCCGAGGUCUUACUGGGCCCAUCGGGCCCCCAGGACCAGCAGGUGCCAAUGGCGAGAAGGGAGAAGUCGGACCUCCUGGUCCUUCAGGAAGUACUGGAGCUCGAGGCGCCCCGGGUGAGCGCGGAGAGACUGGGCCACCUGGACCUGCUGGAUUCGCUGGCCCUCCUGGUGCUGAUGGCCAGCCUGGUGCCAAGGGCGAUCAAGGAGAAGCUGGACAGAAAGGUGACGCUGGUGCCCCUGGCCCACAAGGCCCCUCAGGAGCUCCCGGGCCACAGGGUCCUACUGGAGUGACUGGUCCUAAGGGAGCCCGGGGCGCCCAAGGCCCACCGGGAGCCACCGGAUUCCCUGGAGCUGCUGGCCGAGUUGGACCCCCAGGUUCUAAUGGCAACCCUGGGCCCGCCGGUCCCCCUGGUCCUGCUGGAAAAGAUGGUCCCAAAGGUGCUCGAGGAGACACUGGUGCCCCUGGCAGAGCUGGUGACCCUGGACUUCAAGGACCCGCAGGAGCUCCUGGAGAGAAAGGCGAACCUGGAGAUGACGGUCCCUCUGGUUCUGAUGGUCCCCCAGGUCCCCAGGGGCUGGCUGGUCAAAGGGGCAUUGUUGGUCUGCCUGGUCAGCGUGGUGAGAGAGGAUUCCCAGGCCUUCCCGGCCCAUCGGGUGAGCCCGGCAAGCAGGGUGCACCUGGUGCAUCUGGAGACAGAGGUCCUCCUGGUCCUGUGGGGCCUCCUGGCUUGACAGGACCUGCAGGUGAACCUGGACGAGAGGGCAGCCCUGGUGCUGAUGGACCCCCUGGCAGAGAUGGUGCGGCUGGAGUCAAGGGUGAUCGUGGUGAGACUGGUGCACUUGGUGCUCCUGGAGCUCCUGGGCCCCCAGGCUCUCCUGGUCCUGCUGGCCCAACUGGCAAACAAGGAGACAGAGGAGAGGCUGGUGCACAAGGUCCUAUGGGCCCCUCAGGACCUGCUGGAGCCCGUGGAAUUGCUGGCCCUCAAGGCCCCCGAGGUGACAAAGGAGAAGCUGGAGAGCCUGGCGAGAGAGGACUGAAGGGGCACCGAGGUUUCACUGGACUGCAGGGUCUGCCUGGCCCCCCGGGUCCUUCUGGAGAUCAGGGUACUUCUGGCCCUGCUGGUCCUUCCGGCCCUAGAGGUCCACCUGGCCCUGUUGGUCCCUCUGGCAAAGAUGGCUCUAAUGGAAUCCCUGGCCCCAUCGGGCCUCCAGGUCCCCGUGGACGCUCAGGAGAAACUGGCCCUGCUGGUCCUCCUGGAAAUCCUGGUCCCCCUGGCCCUCCGGGUCCUCCUGGUCCUGGCAUCGACAUGUCAGCCUUUGCUGGCUUAGGACAGAGAGAGAAGGGCCCCGAUCCCCUGCAGUACAUGCGGGCCGACGAGGCAGACAGUACCUUGAGACAGCAUGACGUCGAGGUGGACGCCACGCUCAAGUCGCUGAACAACCAGAUCGAGAGCAUCCGCAGCCCUGAUGGCUCCCGCAAGAAUCCCGCUCGCACCUGCCAGGACCUGAAACUCUGCCACCCAGAGUGGAAGAGCGGAGACUACUGGAUUGAUCCCAACCAGGGCUGCACCUUGGACGCCAUGAAAGUCUUCUGCAACAUGGAGACUGGCGAGACUUGCGUCUACCCCAACCCAGCGACUGUGCCUCGGAAGAACUGGUGGAGCAGCAAGAGCAAGGAGAAGAAGCACAUCUGGUUUGGAGAGACCAUGAACGGCGGCUUCCACUUCAGCUACGGCGACGGCAACCUGGCUCCCAACACCGCUAACGUCCAGAUGACUUUCCUCCGUCUACUGUCCACUGAGGGCUCCCAGAACAUCACCUACCACUGUAAGAACAGCAUUGCCUACCUGGACGAAGCAGCCGGCAACCUCAAGAAGGCCUUGCUCAUCCAGGGCUCCAAUGAUGUGGAGAUGAGGGCCGAGGGCAACAGCAGGUUCACGUACACUGCCCUGAAGGAUGGCUGCACGAAACACACCGGUAAGUGGGGCAAGACCAUCAUCGAGUACCGAUCACAGAAGACCUCACGCCUUCCCAUUGUUGACAUUGCACCCAUGGACAUCGGAGGGCCUGAUCAGGAAUUUGGUGUGGACAUAGGGCCUGUCUGUUUCUUGUAAAACCCUCAACCCCAAAACAACACAAUCCAUUGCGAACCCAAAGGACCCAAAUACUUUCUAACCGCAGUCACUCUAGGAUCUGCACUGAAUGGCUGACCUGACCUGAUAUUCAACUAUCCUAACCUCACAGUCCGGACCAUUCUCCCCUUUCUAAGAGACCUGAACUGGGCAGACUGCAAAAUAAAAUCUCGAAGUUCUAUUUAUUUAUUGUCUUCCUGUAAGACCUUUGGGUCAAGGCGGAGACAGGAACUAUCUGGUGUGAGUCAGACGCCCCCCGAGUGACUGCUCCCAGCCCAGCCAGAAGACCCCUACAGGUGCUGGGCGCAGGAACUGUGUGUCCUACACAAUGGUGCUAUUCUGUGUCAAACACCUCUGUAUUUUUUAAAACACCAAUUGAUAUUAAAAACCAAAAAAAAAAAAAUCAUUGGAAAGGACACGGUG
rnacentral:lncRNA from 1 species